rnacentral:rRNA from 1 species
ACUCAAUAGAUACCCCGGUAGUCCACGCCGUAAACGAUGAUGACUAGCUGUCGGGGCGCUUAGCGUUCCGGUGGCGCAGCUAACGCGUUAAGUCAUCCGCCUGGGGAGUACGGCCGCAAGGUUAAAACUCAAAGAAAUUGACGGGGGCCUGCACAAGCGGUGGAGCAUGUGGUUUAAUUCGAAGCAACGCGCAGAACCUUACCAGCGUUUGACAUGGUAGGACGGUUUCCGGAGAUGGAUUCCUUCCCUUACGGGACCGUACACACAGGUGCUGCAUGGCUGUCGUCAGCUCGUGUCGUG